rnacentral:lncRNA from 1 species
GGGUAGGGCGUCGACUGCGGUUGGUGACUGUGGCUCCGGCCUGGCCUGGCCUGGCCUGGCCAUCUGUUCAUAAAUUUCACGCUGCUUAAUUAAAAUGUUGAAUAUUUUAUGCAAUUUAUUGUGGCAGUGGCACGGGGGCAUUAAGCAUGGAGCAUGGAGCAUGGCAGUAGCGCCACAAGUAGCUGAAAACUAAUGCCCGAUAAACGUUUCGACCUUUUGACCAACACAACGACAUUUACACAUUUGCAUAAAGAGACAUUUAUUACCCAUUAAUCGUGCGAAAGAUGGCUUGGGACUGGACAGGAGAAAAGUUUUCUAAGAGGUAAAUAAAAAUAUCAAAAUAAAUUUUCAAGUAUUUGUUAUAUAAAAAAAGAAAGAUCUAAUUUAACAAGAUUGUAUUUGUAUCUAUACUUUAUCAACACGUUUGACAAAUCUGCGAAAUCACAGGUCAUCCCAUGGUUCAUACCCUGCCUUGUUUUUGUGCGCUUUUGUUGCGUGGAAGCACAUAUUCAAAAUGCAUUUUGAAUAUCUAAAACACACAUAAAUCUAUAUGUACGCAGCCAUCGAGAGAGCUACAGAUAUUUCCAUAUAUGUGUAUGCAUUUGAAUGAGAUACUCGUACGCACAGCUCGUAUCUUGUACUUAUGCAAAUGGAUCUCUCAUUCGCUCUAUGGAAGUAUCUGUCGACACCUCUUAAUGCUCCUCUCGCUCUCUCUCUCUGCAUCUGUAAUAUCUGUGAUAUUCUCUAAACACUUCCCCAAACAAUAUUCCUCUGUUCCUCUUCCCAUUUACAUUUCUUUGCACUUAAAUUUCCGCUUAAGCAUUCCUAAAUUGUUCAUUAACAUUUCUGCCGAUUUGUUGUUGCCCGUUUUUGUAAUGAAUAUUUGUUGUUGUCUGGCACUUUUGUUUUGUCGUGAGUUGUCGUGGGGGGGAAAGCGCUCUGUGUUGUUAUUGAUCAUUCUCCACAAAAACACCUCACAGUUUCUAUUUCUAUUGUUUAUUUCGCACAUUCAGCCGCUAAUUUAUUUUCAGCACGCGCUGAACGAUUAACCCAGAGAUCAAGAUCAAAACAGAUCAGAGGGUAACCUGAGAGAUCAAGCUUUUAAAUACCUGGGGGAAGAUGUUUGCUGUCUCUGGAAAUAUAAGAGUGAGAAAAUAAAAGGAUUACAGCCCUGAGUCCACGCGUAAUUCACACCAGAGAGAGAAUCGCAGUUAUCGACUUGGGUGUUAUAUGCCCCACUGAUCGAUCGAUUUUAGGGCAAAAGUCUAGACCUCGAAUGAUCAAUCUUCUGAGCAGAGUCGAGCCGAGUGGACGACAGCCCCAUGGGGGCUUUCAUCAAUCAAGCAGAAACCCAUUGAAAUCUGAAUCGGAAUCGGAAUACAAAAUGUCAGCACUCUGUCAGCAGGAUGACAGACAUCCCGCACUAAAAGCUAUAUAUCCGAGGUUCCUUAAUCUGUUUAAUUUGCAGAUGCAGUUCCACAGAUACAGUUGUAAAGAUACAGAUACGAGAGUGGAAAACGCGAAUAAACUGAAUGAAAUCUGACAGACAGGCAGUCCCUGAAUGAGCGAACGUCUCGCAUCGCGCUUCGCGGAAUAUAAUUUAUGAGUCAAUUUCAGACAAUUAUUGUUAAAUAUUAUUAAGCAUUCGUCGGCCUGUCAAAACACACACAGAGCGGGGCCCCCCUCUGGCCGUCCGCACCCGCAAGAGCGGAAUGAUUUACAAGGCGAGUGAGAGAAUAGCCCGAAAAGGAGGAGAAUUGAAGACAAUUGUCACUUGGAUGAGGAAUGAGGCUUGGGGAAUGGGAAGCUCUUGAGCGAUGACAAAUUUUAAGUGGAUAAUCUUCAGGCUCAAAUAAAAGAGCAGCAGAAAGGGCGAACGAGCGCAUUGCCAACGCAAAUUAAUGUCAAAAUUGAUUAGAGCUCUGGCAACUCUCCGGCAGAGGCAGACAGCAAGUGAUUGUUCCGUCAAAGACAUUCCAUUCCUUACAUUUACACCCAGCUGCUGCAAAGGCGCGUGUCUGCCAAUUAGAGCUCCAGAAAGGGGUAGGGGAAAGACCAAGAACAGAAGCGCAUCCAGAGGAUCAGAAGGUGCAGAGCAUCGCAUGAGAAGAGCAAAAAGUGUGAAGAAAAGCGGGAAAUAGCCGAAGCCACGAUAGAGACAAAUAAGUGGAUUAAACUAUGGUUUAAAAAUAUCAAAGAAAAAGCAUCAAAUUAAUGAAAAACUUACCACAAAUGCACUUUGGAUGGAUCUUCAAC